GACGCUGGCGGCGUGCUUAACACAUGCAAGUCGAACGGUAAGGGCCCUUCGGGGUACACGAGUGGCGAACGGGUGAGUAACACGUGGGUGAUCUGCCCUGCACUUCGGGAUAAGCCUGGGAACUGGGUCUAAUACCGGAUAGGACCAUGGACUUCACGGUUUGUGGUGGAAAGCUUUUGCGGUGUGGGAUGGGCCCGCGGCCUAUCAGCUUGUUGGUGGGGGUAAUGGCCUACCAAGGCGACGACGGGUAGCCGGCCUGAGAGGGUGUCCGGCCACACUGGGACUGAGAUACGGCCCAGACUCCUACGGGAGGCAGCAGUGGGGAAUAUUGCACAAUGGGCGCAAGCCUGAUGCAGCGACGCCGCGUGAGGGAUGACGGCCUUCGGGUUGUAAACCUCUUUCAAUAGGGACGAAGCGCAAGUGACGGUACCUAUAGAAGAAGCACCGGCCAACUACGUG
rnacentral:rRNA from 1 species